rnacentral:lncRNA from 1 species
ACAGUUUCAUCAUGUUGGGUUGAAAUGAGAACAGUGUGUACACGCACUGGAACCAUUGCACCAUUGUCAUUGUAGUACUCGACAGUGACUUGGGUUUUGCCAUCAGGUCUCAACCAAGGGCAGGUGCCGUUCUUGCGGACGUCAGUGAGGCGGGCACCAAGCUUGGUUGCAAGAACAUGACUAAGGGGCAUAAACUCGGGGGUUUCAUCAGUGGCAUAACCAAACAUGUGACCUUGGUCACCAGCACCAAUCUCCUCAGGCCGCUUGGUAAGAUGGCCAUGGACACCCUGAGCAAUAUCAGGGCUCUGCUGCUCAAUGUAAACUAGGACCUUGCAUUUGUCAGCAUCAAGACCAACAUCAUCAGAAACAAAUCCAAUUGAACGGCAGGUGUCACGAACAAUCUUUUCAUAGUCUACAUUGGCUUUGGUUGUGAUCUCACCAAAGACCAUGACCAUGUUGGUCUUGGUGCAAGUCUCGCAAGCAACCUUGCUGUCAGGAUCUUGCUCAAGGC